rnacentral:rRNA from 1 species
GACGAACGCUGGCGGCGUGCUUAACACAUGCAAGUCGAACGGAAAGGCCCUGCCUUUGUGGGGUGCUCGAGUGGCGAACGGGUGAGUAACACGUGAGUGACCUGCCCUUGACUUUGGGAUAACUUCAGGAAACUGGGGCUAAUACCGGAUAGGAGCUCCUGCUGCAUGGUGGGGGUUGGAAAGUUUCGGCGGUUGGGGAUGGACUCGCGGCUUAUCAGCUUGUUGGUGGGGUAGUGGCUUACCAAGGCUUUGACGGGUAGCCGGCCUGAGAGGGUGACCGGCCACAUUGGGACUGAGAUACGGCCCAGACUCCUACGGGAGGCAGCAGUGGGGAAUAUUGCACAAUGGGCGGAAGCCUGAUGCAGCAACGCCGCGUGCGGGAUGACGGCCUUCGGGUUGUAAACCGCUUUCGCCUGUGACGAAGCGUGAGUGACGGUAAUGGGUAAAGAAGCACCGGCUAACUACGUG